GUUCCGUAAAUAAUUGAGUGUGCACUGUCCUCCCUUCCUUCCCGUCAUCAUCAUCAGAUCAGACUGUCAUGCAGCAUCCUUGGUACGUGCACAGCCACACUCCGCUCAUGGCAACGCGGUACACAAAGUAAGCCGAGUUCAACCACUACACACCGGAGGGGUCGCAGCGCUCGCGGACAAAACGGCUUUAAAACCCACCCAAACCAGCUCGGGUGGCGGCUGCCGCAUUCCGGGGCGUCUCUUUAAGGGUAAAGGAACCUUUAUAGCGCAGAUGUGCACAACAAUUACGUAGCGGGACAGGAAACUGUUAAGGAGGUAAUGGUUCAUUCCUGAUGUACGACGUGCAGAACUGAACGCGCCGCACCCCAACUACAACUCGAACAAUCGACUGAACAUGCUGUUCUUCGACGUCCCGCCCACGGAGCUCCUGAUUUGUCAAUUAUUGCCUAAAGGAGGGACAUUCCCCUGCAGCGCGGCACCCGAUUGGCUGAGCCGAACGCCAGGUCGCUCCUCAUUUGCAUAACCAGGUCGGGUUGAGGAUGCAGGGGAGUGGGCAGCAGGGGUAAUGCAAGUGAACUGAACUUCUGCGGCGGUGUAUGCUAAAGAAUAUUCCUAAAAGCGCACAACUCCAGUCCUGGGCUGAGAUUCUUUUAAUAAUGGAAGAAAUAAAAAAAACGUUUUAAAAAUUGGAUAUGAUCUAUUAGGACGUUUGGUCAGGAAUUCAACUCUUUUUUUUACUAAAAAGAAAUAUUGCAAAAGAAAACUUGAACUGAGGGUGCGAGCCUAAAGCACCGUCACUGAGAACUAAAAGCAGGUAAGCCACUGACUAACGCACAUUGUGCCAGUUGCCAGUUCCACUGUGCGUGUGACAGCGGCUAACCUGGUUUUGGGAAUACCGCGCGCUCCGCUCCGCCUCGCCUUCAGAGACCAGCCUCCGCCGGACAAGGCAGACAGACACCUAUAUGUACACGCUGUUCUAGAUCAUGUCCUGCGCGCUGCUGGGAAAGGCCCGAUCCACUCGAUUGGCCUCCCAGUGGUCUCCACAUGUACUUCCUACUAUGCUGACAUACCCUAUUUAGAACCAGGCCGGCUUUUGCCUUGCCUCCCCAGUUGACCCCCCCCCCCCCCCCCCCCCCCCCCCCUCCUGGCCUUUUUGCCACCGGUUGAGGCAGCUGGUGAGUUUUCUUUCAGUUUCCGUUUCACAGUUUGAUCAGUUUUUCUCUCAGUCAUGACAAGCUGGAGGUUUCUGGGUCGCUCCAAAAAUUAGGUUAUUGUUACGUCAGUGGCAGGUUUUGAUAUGGCUUUUUGUCCGUGCUUAUAUUGAUAUCUAAUUCCUGGACUAUUUCAGUGAGAUUUUUUAUUUUGAACCAAUCUGGACUCCCUCAAACUCUUUCUAGUCUAAAAAUGGUCUUAUUCUACGCUGAACAAUUGGAGAUGGGUGAAAACUUUUCAUCUAAAAAAAAAAAAA